rnacentral:lncRNA from 1 species
UUCACGCACCCCAUAAAUUGUGAUAUUGCCAUAUUUACCCUUACUUAAAAUAGGGUUACUCCCUUACCAUCUCAACUUCUUCCUACACCUCCUUAAUUUUUUUUAUUCCAAAAUUAAAAUAUUUUAACUUUUAUUAUUUAUCUUUUUUACCUUUUUUAAAAUCCUAAUUCAUUCAUUUGCCGUCUUCACCCACCCCCUUCCCUUUUCUCACACAAACCCCAGCUCCUCAUUUUCUCUCUUCCUCUCUUCUUCACACAGAGCAUGCACCCCCUCCAUGUCUCUUCUCCUUUCAUCUUCCGUUCCACAUUUUUGUUGUUAAAGCUUUGUUAUUUUGGUGUUUGGUUCGAGCUCCUUCUCGGUUGGUUCGUGAUGUAGAUAGCGUUGUAGAGUUUGGUGCUUGAUUUCGUUUGGUCUUCCAUCUAGGUUAGUAGUUCAUGUUGUGUAUAAAUUCAAGGGAUGUAUGUGUUGUGUAAAAGGAAGAAAAAGAGAACAACGAAUCUUUGAACGAAUAUGGAAAAUCGGUUCAAGCUUUCGCGUUUUAACUCUUUUAAUUUUUUUGUUUUGUUUUUAGUUUUUUAAUUUAUUUUUUUUUUUGUAGAUUUUAUUAUUUGAACAGUGUAAAUUUCUAUAUUAUUAUUUUUGUAUUAUUAUUGAUGUAUAAAUUUAAAAUCGGUAGAUAUUUU